UUGCCAGCCUGGUGGAUAUAGACAGUAUAUCAUUGUCUCUUAAUUUGUUUUUCUUGAUUAAUAGACUGAGCAUCUUUCUUAAGUAUUCUUUGAAGAACAAAGUUCAGGAUUUUUAAGAUCAUAAGGAAGACUGAUGGAGAAAAGUAACAACGUGAUUCAGGCACACCAGUGAGUUCUUGGGGAUGCACAAAAGUGUCCGGUUGAGAAACUUAUGAUAUACAAGACAAGACCCUGCCUCAGGAAGCGUACAUGAGAAUAAUUUUAAAGGAACCUUUUGGUAGAUGCAAAACAAUAGCAGUCCAAGGUGAUGGAAAUGUACUGGAACAGUGGGAGAAACUGGUAGCAUAUAGGAAGCCAAGAUGACAAGAAUUUUUUCAAAUAAUCCGUGAGUAAAUUUUUAUGAGCACUUUGAAAUUAUUUUAACUAACAGGUGAAUUGUUUUUAAGACAUACUGU
rnacentral:lncRNA from 1 species